rnacentral:rRNA from 1 species
AUUGAACGCUGGCGGCAGGCCUAACACAUGCAAGUCGAGCGGCAGCGGGAAAGUAGCUUGCUACUUUUGCCGGCGAGCGGCGGACGGGUGAGUAAUGCCUGGGAAACUGCCCAGUCGAGGGGGAUAACAGUUGGAAACGACUGCUAAUACCGCAUACGCCCUACGGGGGAAAGCAGGGGACCUUCGGGUCUUGCGCGAUUGGAUAUGCCCAGGUGGGAUUAGCUAGUUGGUGAGGUAAUGGCUCACCAAGGCGACGAUCCCUAGCUGGUCUGAGAGGAUGAUCAGCCACACUGGAACUGAGACACGGUCCAGACUCCUACGGGAGGCAGCAGUGGGGAAUAUUGCACAAUGGGGGAAACCCUGAUGCAGCCAUGCCGCGUGUGUGAAGAAGGCCUCCGGGUUGUAAAGCACUUUCAGCGAGGAGGAAAGGUUGAUGCCUAAUACGUAUCAACUGUGACGUUACUCGCAGAAGAAGCACCGGCUAACUCCGUGCCAGCCGCCGCAGUAAGAC